UGGGGAAUAUUGCACAAUGGACGGAAGUUUGAUGCAGCGACGCCGCGUGGAGGGUGUAGGCCUUCGGGUUGUGAACUCCUUUUUCUCGCGAAAAAGGCACAGUUUUGGCUGUGUUGAUGGUAGUGGGGGAAGAAGCGCCGGCUAACUACGUGCCAGCAGCCGCGGUAAUACGUAGGGCGCGAGCGUUGUCCGGAUUUAUUGGGCGUAAAGAGCUCGUAGGUGGUUCGUCGCGUCUGUCGUGAAAGCCAGCAGCUUAACUGUUGGUCUGCGGUGGGUACGGGCGGGCUUGAGUGCGGUGGGGAUGGCUGGAAUUCCUGGUGUAGCGGUGGAAUGCGCAGAUAUCAGGAGGAACACCGAUGGAGAAGGCAGGUCACUGGGCAGUUACUGACACUGAGGAGCGAAAGCGUGGGGAGCGAACAGG
rnacentral:rRNA from 1 species